GCUGCCAAUACUUUAUAAACACUAUACACAUAUUUCUAAGUAAUGUGAGAAGAAAUGGAUACAAUGGAAGUGAAGUUCUUUCAAAAAAAAAAAAAAAAAAAAAAAACUCCUUGAUGGAAGUGAGCAGGGUUAAAAUGCAGAGGUUUUAUUGAAUACCAAGAAGGAAUUCAAGUAAAUUUGUGAGCAUAACUAUAAAUUAGAUGAAGAAAUUGGAAUAUACACCUUAGAUGCGGCUUUGUGAAAACCGAGGUGUGAAGUCCAAAAUGCAAUGCAUUCAUGAACAAAAAUCAUAGCUAAAAGUUGAUGAAGAUGAUGAUGGUAUGAUCUCAACUCAUGCUACUGAUCCUGAUGAACUAAUAUCUAAAGAAAAUGACAAAGUUUGGAAAUUGAUUCAAGAAAUCAAAGGUAAGAUGCAUGCAUGCCAGAAAAAGGUUUUUGAAUUUCCAUGGCAAAACAUUACUGGCUCAACGGAACCAUCAUUCAUGAAAGAAAAAUUCAAAACAAACGGUGGUUAUGUUAUGUUAUAACCACCGUUUGAGUUAGAUUUUUCUUUCAUGAGUGAUUGUUCCAUUGAGCUAGUAAUGUUUUGCCAAAGAAACUCAAAAGCUUUUUCCUAGUGUGCAUGCGUUUUACCUUUGAUUUCUUGAAUCAAUUUCGAAACAUUGUCAUUUUGUUUAGUUAUUAGUUCAUAAGGAUCAGUAGCCUUGUGAAUCAAUGCUUGCGCUGAAGGUAUUAGUUCAACAGCUGCUUCUAGACUGAUUUUUUAUUUAUUUUUUGGAUUCUGAGUGGAAUCUUUCAAAAAUAAAGCAAGCUAUUGUGCACAAUUUUCUUCUGGGUCAACAGAAAAUGGUUUAUGUGUAUGAGUUAUUGGCGGCUGGAUCAAUGAACUGAAUGGAGGAAGAUAAGUAUAGAAGAACUACUUGGGAAGCGUGCGUUUCUUGCAUGAUUUUUAGUGCGGAGGUUGUUAAGGAUCCUUCUAAAUAGAAAGCUGAGAAGAAUGAAGAUGAUAUACUUAGGGAUAUGGUUGAAGAGAAUAAGUCUAAAGCUAUUCAUAUGAUUAUGAAGAAUGAAAAGGCUUCAACAAGCUAAUAAAAGGGUCAUUCAUAAAGCUUGUAGUAGCAGGAGGAACUGUAGGAAGGGAGUAAAGGCACAAGCCAUUUUGCUUAUGUAAAGCCCCCAUUGUUUAUGAGAAUAAAAUUUUCAUCACAUAUUGAAUAUUUUAUUUUAAUUAUUAA